CUGUUUAGGCACUCACCAUUGAUGGACUCCUGGGUUGUUUCUACCCUUUGGCUAUCGUGAAUAAUGCUAUUAUGCGAUUUUCAAGUCUCUGCUUUCAAUUCUUCUGUGUAUAUAUCCAGAAUCAGAAUUGCUGCAUCAUGUGGUAAUUCUAUGUUUAAUUCUUUUUGAGGAAACGCCAUAUUUUCAUGCAAAUGUUUUACAUUACCGUCAACAGGGAACUGGGGCUUUUUUCUCCUUACCCUCUCCAACACUUGUUAUUUUCUAUUGUUGUUUUAAUAAUAGCCAUCGUAAUAGUAUUACUUUAAAAACUAUAAACAAACAAACAAACAAACAAAUAAAUUAAUAAAUAUUCACCAGAGCUACUCCGGGAUCCAGGCUUGACCACAUAGCAAGACUGAAACACUUAAACCCAGAAGAACCAUGUACUUAGAGUCCCCUGCAAGUGCCGGGUAGGGGGUGUUUCCUGGACUCCUGCACAGCCCACAUCAAUAUCACCCAGUGCAGUUUGUCCAGAGCCCAGCACACUCUCAGGCCUGAAGCUCCCCCAACCCCCCGUGGCCCCUCAGGUGACCCGGAUGUGAUGGACUCCUCUACAGGCAUGGGCUAGUGCCCCCAAAGAGUGUCAGCCAGCCCUGGUGUGGGCUGGGCUGAGACGCUAGCCACACACCUGCACCCAUCCCCAAAGCUCAAAGGUCAGAGGUCAUUUGAGAACGUCAGAGAGGUCACGACCCCUGAGGUGUCUGGUGUAUGGAACGACCUUGAUUAGGGAGAGGAGAGCACAACGAGGCAAAGGAAGGGUGUGGGGCCUGCUCUCCUCCUGAACCCACAGGGCCUUACUGCUGUUGAGGGAUUGUUCCAGCCCAGUCAAAAACAGCGGGGAUGCUGUGUUCUUUUGGUGUUAUCAUAGAACACCCCGUGAUCCCAGGAUGGGGCGCACAGGUGAUGGCAUGCUCUGGGGAGAGAAACCACAAUUGUGGGGUUAUCUGGGACUUCUCUGUCGGAAAGCAUGGAGGACAGAACCAUGGUUAUCUCACCGUGUGACAAUUAGCAGCUAAUAAUGGAGGGAAAUAGUUAGAGACCCCAGCAUUGCCCAGAAGAGUGAGAAUUUGAGGGGCAUCUUCGGGGCUCAGUUGGUUGAGCAUCUGACAUCAACUGAGGUCAUGAUCUCACGGUUUGUGAGUUUGAGCCUGGCAUCGGGCUUGCUGCUGUCAGCACGAAGUCUGCUUCGGAUCUUCCGUUCCCCUCUCUCUGUGUCCCUCCUCCCACUCCUGCUCACGCUCUCACUCUCAAAAAUAAAUAAAACAUUGAAAAAAAAGAGGAUUUGAGCAGCUGGUUCUGAGACAGUAGGCAAGUGAUGCAGUAACUGAAAAACUAGGACCUAUGCACAAAAUCAUAGGACUUGAGGUUUGGAGGGAAUCGCCGUGUCUCUCGGGCCAAUUCCUUGACACUGUUUCUAGCAAAUGAACACAACUCUGCACAGACAGGUACCCCAUUCCUCCACCGUUGUGUGUACAGACUGUGGUGGCCAGGCUGCCACAUGGCUCCAAGAUUGAUCCUCCUCUCUGGCUCACGCCCUGUGUGGUGUCUCUCAUGGGUGGAGGGCUGACCUGUGUGAUCAAUAGGCUAUUAUGACUCCUGAGGCUAGGUCAAAAGGGCCUUGUGGCUCGCACCUUGCUCUCCUUUGGAUCACUGACUCUGAAGGAAGACAGCUACUCUGUUGGGAGGACACUCAAGCAGCUCUGGGGAGGGGGCCACACGGAGAGGAACAGCAGCCCCUGCUCAACAGCCAGCACCAACUUGCCAGGCACGUGAGUGAGCCACCUUGGAAACAGAUGUGUGGUCAAGCCUUCGGAUGACUGUGGCCCGAGCCAACAUCUUGUCUGCAACCUCAUGACAUAUCCUGGACCAGAACCGCACAGCCUAGCCACAGACCCACAGCAAUUGAAACCUACCAAGACACUCCUCGCAUGGAGCCCCAAACCUUGUAGACAAAAUUGAGCCAGAGAUGUGCCAUACUUCACCUCUGCCUUGGGAUGAACAAUUUCGGUUGGUUUCUGAGAAGGGAGAGGUCUCGCCCAUCUUGUUUAUUCUCAUAUGAUCAGUGCUUCGCACAAUGGCUAGAACCUAGCAGGUGCACAAUAGAUAUUUGUUGAAUAAAUUAACAAAUUUAA